UACGUAGGAGGCGAGCGUUGUCCGGAUUUACUGGGCGUAAAGCGCGCGCAGGCGGCACUUCAAGUACGGUGUGAAAUCUCCCUGCUCAACGGGGAGGGUGCAUUGUAAACUGGAGAGCUAGAGGACGGUAGAGGGGGGUAGAAUUGCUGGUGUAGCGGUGAAAUGCGUAGAGAUCAGCAGGAAUACCCGUGGCGAAGGCGGCCCCCUGGGCCGAACCUGACGCUGAGGCGCGAAGGCUAGGGGAGCGAACGGG
rnacentral:rRNA from 1 species